AGCUUUGGAAUAAGAGUGGCUGAGGCAAAAACAAAACCAAAUUUGGGGCUUCUGCAACAGAUGGCUGAAAGCCACAGCACUGAUAAUACAGUAAAUUACUGUGAUUACACAAUUGCUUCCAAACCUUUUAAAAGGUUUAGAAACCCUAAUAGGAAGCCCUGGUUUAGGACCAACUUCCAUUCUCAGCCAGGAAGAGACCUUGCUCUGGCAGAACAUUUCCUGCUCUGGCACUGGGUGGUGGCUGCUCCAGCAGGGAAUCACCCAUGGAAGUGGCUUGGGAUGUUCUCCAUGAACAGUUGUUGACAUGUUCCAGCUUCAGCAGGGUCAGGCCCUGUGAACACAAACCGCUCUGGCAAGCCUAAAACCUUGGAGAGACUUUACAAAAAAAUGAAGCAACGUUUCAGCACCUCCUGUGAAGCCAAGAGUGAAGAGUCAUCACAGCAAAACUUCUGAACAGAAAUUGUGAAGUUUGUUUUGUGGUAAAAAUCCCCACUGCCACGGAAGAAGUGACCACCAGCCAUGGCCUAGCUCUGAAGUCCCAGAUGGAAUCCCAGUCACUGGAGCUCCUGGCCUUCACUGUGGCAUCAGCUCAAAAUCCAGAUGAAAAGAUUUGGAUGCAAAAACCCUCAGUUAUCAUCCCACCAGCUGUAGUUCUAGUUGGGCAUUGUCUGUCAUUAAAUCCUAUCUG